AACGAACGCUGGCGGCAUGCCUAACACAUGCAAGUCGAACGAAGUCUUCGGACUUAGUGGCGCACGGGUGCGUAACGCGUGGGAAUCUGCCCUUGGGUACGGAAUAACUCAGAGAAAUUUGUGCUAAUACCGUAUAAUGUCUUCGGACCAAAGAUUUAUCGCCCAAGGAUGAGCCCGCGUAAGAUUAGCUAGUUGGUGGGGUAAAAGCCUACCAAGGCGACGAUCUUUAGCUGGUCUGAGAGGAUGAUCAGCCACACUGGUACUGAGACACGGCCCAGACUCCUACGGGAGGCAGCAGUGGGGAAUAUUGGACAAUGGGCGAAAGCCUGAUCCAGCAAUGCCGCGUGAGUGAUGAAGGCCCUAGGGUUGUAAAGCUCUUUUACCAGGGAUGAUAAUGACAGUACCUGGAGAAUAAGCUCCGGCUAACUCCGUG
rnacentral:rRNA from 1 species